AUUUAUUUGAGAAAGAGAAGUAAAUAUUUCAUGAUGCUUUUCUCCAACACUUGAGUACUGGUAUAGAAUAGAGUAUUACAGCCUCAUAAUGUACAGCAGGGUUUCCCAAACUCAGUUGUGGGGCCCACCCUGGGUCCAUAUAUCUUUUUUGCCCUAGCACUACACAGCUGAUUCAAAUAACCAAUUUAAAUGACUUUGGGAAACCCUGCUUUACAGCAUAAAUAUACUUGUAAAUAGACUUACUGCAUUUCACAAACACUAGCAUUAGAAAUACAGUACUGACAUAGACAAAUAGCACAGUACAACAUAAUGCUUUUACAUACAGUACAGUGGUGGUGAAGGCUAGGAUAAAUCCUUUUCAUUAGGGAGAUGGAUGGCACAAAUCAUUUAUGAACCCAGGUUGAUUUUCAGUAGUGGGGUCCUGUACCAUCAUCUUGAUGGUAAUAACUUGUAUUAUAAAUCACUACAUUCCUCCCUCAGCCAUGUGCAGACCAGACUCAUAUGAAGUUUCAAAGGUGGAAUGGGUGUUAUAGAACAUGUGUAAAUUAUAAUUCAUUGGUGGGUUAAAGUGCAUCAACUUUUGAAUAAGCUUAUCUCUGCUUGAUUAAUAACUGGACAUAUUUUCCUUUUUUGCCCCAUUCAAAAUACCCUGGUAGAUGCGUCAUGGGUAAAACAUUUGUAUUUCCAUACUUAUUCCUAAGAAUAAGAGUAGGCUUUAGCCGGCUGGUGUCAGUAUUAGAGGACCAAAAAUUAUCCAAGGCACUGGUUUAACGGUACUGAUUUACAAGAAUAUGAAUAUGAAAACGUAUUAAAAGAUUACAACUUUAAGAAGAAGAGUUAAAGUGAUGGAAUUAAGGCAGAGAUAACGCAGCAGCAUCCUGAUCUGGGGGUUUGGGUAGUCCUGAGUGCUGUCCCUGUCACUUUCUCUGGGGGUUGGGUCCAAAUAGCUUGGUUAAGGGAUGGGUAGUCCUGAGUGCUGUCCCAAAAAAGGAAAGAGAUAGGGAAGAGAUAAUGAAAAGGAUGUAGCAAGCAGUAUCUACAAAUGUCUGGUGUUUAGGCCCUCAGUGACAUCAUAAUCACAGUAUCUAUGAAUGUCUGGUGGUCAGGUCCUCAGUGACAUCAUAAUCACAGUAUCUACAAAUGUCUGGUGGUCAGGUCCUCAGUGACAUUAUAAUCACAGUAUCUAUGAAUGUCUGGUGGUCAGGUCCUCAGUGACAUCAUAAUCACAGUAUCUAUGAAUGUCUGGUGGUCAGGUCCUCAGUGACAUCAUAAUCACAGUAUCUAUGAAUGUCUGGUGGUCAGGUCCUCAGUGACAUCAUAAUCACAGUAUCUAUGAAUGUCUGGUGGUCAGGUCCUCAGUGACAUCAUAAUCACAGUAUCUAUGAAUGUCUGGUGGUCAGGUCCUCAGUGACAUCAUAAUCACAGUAUCUAUGAAUGUCUGGUGGUCAGGUCCUCAGUGACAUCAUAAUCAUAAGCUAUAGACAAGUCUGUUGUUACAGCCUGAUAGAGAACACACUCACCCUUAUAUGACAUAGUUUUUUAUUUUGCGCUUCUUGAUACACCUGUAAGUAAUGAUGCCAAUGCAAACAACGACCAGGACAGGGAUAAGUAAACACCACCACCCUUAAUAACAACAGAUAAAAACACAACAUUAUUGGAUAAGUAUGUAUCAUAUUACAAUUGGAGGACUAAUUAUUUACAAUGAGGAGGAAUCAUAAAGCACUAAUCAAUCAACGGAUUAAUAUUUUUUUUUUUAAAAAGCCACUGAGGAGUAUAUUAGUCUGUCAGAGUGAAAUUGUCAGUGUUGAGCAGCAUUGCUGCGCUGUGUAUUUCUGCACUCACCAGGAUGUCCAUAUUGAGCAGCAGCUCCAGUGAAGUCUGAACCUGCCACCAAGACAAACAACUCAACAGCCAGACUGCAGAUGUCUUUGUUAGGGAUUCACUCAACUGUACACAGGACAAUUAAGUCUCACUAACAAAGCUAGGAUGGGAAUCAAUCCGAGUGUCAAUUUGGACAAUGCUCCAUUUUAAGGUAAUUUUCAAUUGAGCAACCGUGAAUGUGAUCUCCACUAAGGCAGAAACAUUGCCUUUAAAACGUGCAUUGUGGGCAAAGCUCAAUCAGACUGAAUCCUGGCCUUAGUGUUCAAUUAAGCAAGGGACACUGCAUAAAUAGUGCUGUGUAAAAUGACCAUAAGAUUCUCUACAGCCAGUUUGUGAAAAUAAUACAGAAUGUUUGAAUCGAUGACUCACCAUUCACAGUAGUUGGUGCGAUGCCGAUGACAAGGCAAUCUGAAAUAGCAGAACAGGGCUGAUUAGCCUACAUGCAACAAUUGACAGACGGAGCACAUAUGGAAAUUUGUUUUUGGUUUGGUGAUGGAUUUUUUCUCAUACUCUAUAAUAUAGGCUACUGGUAACUUCCUAUAGCCCCUGGGAUUAUAGACACCCAGGACCAUCGAUUUGUUCACUCUACGCACUCUAGCAUUUUGUUCACGUUGUAUUAUCUUGGGCCAUCACAGAGACACUCACUGGCUUGUUCAUAGUUGGUAAUGGCUGUGCUGUUGGCCUCCAGGGCAGGCUGGAAGCUCUCUGAGACGUUUCUGCACACAGUGUAAUAAUAAUCCAGACUACACAUGGUGCACCUCCCAGAAGGAGGAUAGGGGGUGGAUGUGCAUUGCUGGAAAGGACCUGGCACCAUCAGCAGAUUCUGGUUCAGGUCAUCAUUAUGAUCAAAACAUUUCGUCACCUCUGGGCACUUUGUGUCAUUACACCGGAAACACAUGUCCUUCAUUGCAACUGAGAGAAACAGUGAGAUGUAUUCACACAAACAGGCAGAGGAGGAUUACACUGUUGGCCAGAACAGACAACUCAUCACAUCGGCCAUCCAGUGGAAUAGAGACAAAAGUAUACCAGUUUCAUGGGUUAACUUUGGUUUUAAUCACACAUACAUGUAUACAUACACAUAUACGUUAGAUUAUUCAAUGUAAAGAUCAUUCUAUAGCUGGGGUGGUGACAUUUUUCUCAUGUCAGGCAUUAAUACUGAUGAAUGAUAGAGUGUGUUAUCAUACCUACCUUUUAUUCGAAUCCAACCUGUGAAAUAAUGGACCAGGAAUAUUAGUCUAACGCAAACACUACAAAUUCCUGCAAUCAUUUGUCAUACCAUCUCUUCAAGUAUGAGUUUUAGGACAUUCUUAUCUUUAUUAAAUUCCUAACAGAAAAUAAGAAAUAAAGCUCUUCCUUCCUGUUUUUACUGAACUUUUGGUAUUUGAAGGAC
rnacentral:lncRNA from 1 species